UGGUAUUUUUUGAGGAUGGUGGUUAGAAGCAUGUAUUGCCUAAUGAUGAAAACUAAUGUCAAGAGAUGGAACAUGACAUGAUCCCUCCCCCUUCUCUCUCUCUCAUGUGUGUGUGCGCGCGCACGUACUUUGGCAGCGGAUCUACCUUUCUUCAUGCCCUUACAGGUGAAUUGAAUUUCAUCUCUUGUGCCAUCAAUGAAUGCUACAUAUUUGAACAUGUGAAGGCACAGGGCUUCAUUUUCAUAUCACAAAUUAUUGGCGAAGUUAUGUUUGACAUAUUUAUUUGGUUUCAUCUUCCAGAUCUGUAUAUAUUUGUUUGAUGCGAACCCUUCAUUUGCACUGUUAUUUCUUAUGCUUAGAUUAUGUUAAUUUCUACUGUGACAGAAUCGUGAUGUUUCAUUUUGUUCUUGAUGGUGGAUAGAAUCAUAUAAGUGUUCUCUUCUAUACAUCACCCGAUGAUGAAAAUUGAAAAUGUAGAGAUGGCACUUGGGCAUGAUCCUCUCCUCCCUGUCCUCCUCCUCCUCCUCCUCUCUCUCUCUCUCUCUCUCUCUCUCUCUCUCUCUCUGCGUGAUGCGUAAUGGCACAUGCGGCAGCAACAGCAGCAGCAGUUCAAUCUUUCACAUGCCUUAUGGACAAAAGGGAGAUCAUUUCUUGUGCCAUCAAUGAAUGCUACAUCUAUGGCACCUGAGGGCAUGACGUUUCUUUACCUUAUUCUGAAAACCGGCAAAAUUUGCAUGGAUAUAUUUAUUUUCAAUUUCAUUUUCCUUCAAUAGCAUUGUUGUCUCUUACGUUCAGAUUUUGCAUCAUUUUCGCUUUUGCUUCAUCAUUUUUGUGCAUUUGUUGUGGUUCCAUCUGAUUAUGAUUAAGUUUGCUCUGUGAUUUCUUCAUUACUUCUGUAGUACCUUCUUAGCUUUUUGUUUUGCUAUUCACCUCAGUGGAGGAAAAUCUUUGGUGUUUCAUGAUUUAUCACGACUGAUCACUGUUGUAAAUCAGUUUGCAUUUGAGUUCCGAUAACAGAAGUGGUAGCCCCUUACCAGGGAGAAGGUUUUGAAUUGGCCAAAGCAUUGUUGGUUUCUGUCUGUAAUGUUUAUUAGUGGUUUUAAGUUAGUAUUUUGGUUAUGAUUUGUGCUUCAAAAUUGCCCAUCUCCUACGUCUAUUUCCCCCUUCGAUUCCUUCGGCUCUCCGAUGGUUUGAUGCUUUGUUCCGGUCGAUCUCGGUGUAGAUGUACUUUGGUUGUAGUCUGUUUGGUGAUUUGUAGUGUACUAGUAGUACUAUAUUUUCCGCAUGCUGCAUGGAUUUUCCCUUGGAUUGGCCCGAUGAUGAUUUACUGAAACCCCCAAUGCGGGGAUGUGGAUGGAUGGAUGGAUAGAUAGACCGGCUCAGAUCUGAGCUCGAAAGGGAUCAGCCGUUGCGUUGCAAGGUUGAAUUAAGCCCCUGAAAUGGCUAAUGCGGCGCUGGCUUCUCUGUUCUUGGCGCUGAGGCCUGUGUCUGGGUCAGCCGUUGCUUCCGCUGAAGCUCUGCCACUGACCUAGGGCCGGCCCUUGUUGAGGUCUACAUCUCCGUCCUUCUCCUCGUCGUCGUCGCCGUCGCACUUUUGCCAUGGCCUUGCCUCGCCUCGCCACUUCUUUCGGUUCACCCAGACACACCCCAGUGCCGGCUUUGGAGCCCGCCGCAUUAGCCUACGACGAAACUGAAAUCUGAGGGCCAUGUUGUCAUACAGAAUUCUCGGUAUUUUCGUCUAAGUCGAACUCUUCUGCAUGGUCACACUGCAAAACACGCAGCUUUUGCACAUUGUAUUACAUUGUAGUGUAGUAUGCAAUACAAUGGUGGAAUGGGAUGCCAUCUUACAAUGUGUGGAGCACUCCUAGGCUAGUGAUUUGGUAGGAUAAUUAACUGAUUGCACUGAAUCACCUGCGCUAAUCUCCUAUGGCUAUUUUCCUGUCUGUUUCCUUCGGCUUUCUUGUGGUUUGAUGCUUUGUUCUGAUCGAUCUUGGCUUAGAUUUACUUUCGUGGUUUGUUUUGUGCGUUUGUAGUGUAUACUAUUCGCUUGUUGCAUGCAUUUUCCUUUCUCUUGGCCUGAUGAUGAUUAGGGUGAAAGGCCCAUGUUGGGAUGGAUGGAUAGAUUGAUUGAUCGCCUCAGGUUUGAUCUUGGAACGGGAUCAGCCGCUGCAUUCGCAAGGUUGAAGCCCCUGAAAUGGCUAAUACAGCGCCGGCCUUCUCUGUUCUAGGCGCUGAGGCAUGUGCUUGGGUUAGCCAUUGCUUUUGCUCAAGCUCCGCCACUGACUGAUGGGCUGGUUCCCUUCUUCCUUCUCUUCCUACCAGCUCACUGUCGGCGUCCUUGUCUUCACCACCACCACCAUUGCCUGGUCUUCUCUAUGGUCCACCCAGACACGUCACAGUGCCAGCUUUGAAGCCCUCUACAUUAGCCUUUGAACCUGAAAUCUGAGGGCCAUGUUGUAAUACGAAUUCUCGGGAUUUUCUUUCGAAUCGAACUGUUUUGUGUGGACUCACUGUAAAACAGCCAGCUUGCACAUGGUGUUAGACUGUUGUGAAGUGGGCAAUGGUGGAACGCGUACUCACAAUGUGUAAAGCAGUGCUUUUGGCCAUGCAUGUGCACCUGCCUGUCUUUGCCGAGAUCUAGGCUAGUAUUUUGGUAAGAUAAUUAACUGGUCGCACUGAAUCAGCCACACCCAUCCCUCGCGUGCUAGAUAUGAUGGCGUAGGAUCACACUGACAGAUGUUACCAGUCCAUCUGAGGUUCGUUUUUUAUACAUCUAUAUUCUUGUUUUCGUUUCUUUUACCUUAUUCCGUGUCACCUGUCAUUUCAAGAACUGUUCAUUUGCCAUUCUUGAAUGCAGGUUGGCUGUUUUGUAGGAAAUAUAACAUGCUUUUGCUACAGAAAUAGUGAUUAAAACACUUUUGAUUUGUUUUCUGUUUUUCUUUUAGUUACUUUUCUUACCAGUUUAACCUCAUAUUACAUCUUCCAUUUAAUAAGAUCCCAACUCUGAACUUUUGGCUUUGCACCAAAAUUUCUGUUUUGAGUUUUUGACUAUAUCAUGAUGGCGUUUUUUUUGGGAUGGUGUUUAGAAGCAUGUAUUGCGUAAUGAUGAAAACUAAUGUCAAGAGAUGGGACAUGCCAUGAUCCCUCCUCGCUUCUCUCUCUCAUGUGUGCGUGUGGGCGCACACACACACACACACACACACACACACACACACAUUGACAGCGGAUAUACCUUUCUUCAUGCGCUUACGGGUGAAUUGAAGAUCAUCUCUUGUGCCAUCAAUGAAUGCUACAUAUUUGAACAUGUGAAGGCACGGGCUUCAUUUUUCAUACCACAAAUAAUUGGCGAAGUUUUGUUUGACAUAUUUAGCUGGUUUCAUCUUCCAGAUCUGUAUAUAUUUGUUUGAUGCGAACCCUUCAUUUGCACUGCUGUUUCUUAUGCUUAGAUUAUGUUAAUUUCUAUUGUGACAGAAUGUGAUGUUUCAUUUUGUUCUUGAUGGUGGAUAGAAUCAUAUAAGUGUUCUCUUCUAUACAUCGCCCGAUGAUGAAAAUUGAAAAUGUAGAGAUUUCGACAUGAUUCUCUCCUCCCUGUCCUUCCUCCUCCUCCUCCCCCCCCCUCUCUCUCUCUCUCUCUCUCUCUCUCUGCGUGAUGCGUAAUGGCACAUGCAGCAGCAGCAGCAGCAGUUCACACCAGAUCAAUCUUUCACAUGCCUUAUGGACAAAAGGGAGAUCAUUUCUUGUGCCAUCAAUGAAUGGUACAUCUAUGGCACCUGAGGGCAUGACAUUUCUUUACCUUACACUAAUAACCGGCAAAUUU
rnacentral:lncRNA from 1 species